UACAGAGGGUGCGGGCGUUGUCCGGAAUCACUGGGCGUAAAGGGCGCGUAGGUGGUGGCUUAAGCGUGCGGUGAAAGCUCGGGGCUCAACUCCGAGUCGGCCGUGCGAACUGGGCUCACUGGAGCAUAGUAGAGGCAGGUGGAAUUCCGGGUGUAGCGGUGGAAUGCGUAGAGAUCCGGAAGAACACCGGUGGCGAAGGCGGCCUGCUGGGCUAUGGCUGACACUGAGGCGCGACAGCGUGGGGAGCAAACAGG
rnacentral:rRNA from 1 species